CAAUAGCGUAUAUUAAAGUUGUUGCAGUUAAAAAGCUCGUAGUUGGAUUUGUGGUGUGUCCAGUCGGCCUUUGCUCUUUGAGUGAUUGUGCUGUACUGGUCUGCCAUGUUUGGGUGGAAUCUGUGUGGCAUUAAGUUGUCGUGCAGGGGAUGCCCAUCGUUUACUGUGAAAAAUUAGAGUGUUCAAAGCAGGCUUAUGCCUUGAAUAUAUUAGCAUGGAAUAAUGAUAUAGGACCUUGGUACUAUUUUGUUGGUUUGCGCACUGAGGUAAUGAUUAAGAGGGACAGUUGGGGGCAUUCGUAUUUCAUUGUCAGAGGUGAAAUUCUUGGAUUUAUGAAAGACGAACUUCUGCGAAAGCAUUUGCCAAGGAUGUUUUCAUUAAUCAAGAACGAAAGUUGGGGGCUCGAAGAUGAUUAGAUACCAU
rnacentral:rRNA from 1 species